rnacentral:tRNA from 1 species
GGCCUAAUGGUCUAGAAGUAUGAUACUCGCUUUGGGUGGUCGCCGAUUGCGAGUGGUCCUGGGUUCAAUUCCCAGUUAGGCCC